GCACCUUGUUUCAAACCAAUCAGUGCCUGAUCAGAAUGGGAUUAGAUGUGAAUCCUUAUAUAAAGCUUCAGCAGCAUUCCUCAUUUUACUGGAGUUGUAGUGGCAGGCUCACAGGCGUACUACAGUUGCUCGCCACCUCAACAAUGGCUUUAAUAAUGAGGGUACUUCAAUUGUCUCUACUCCUUGAUGUGGGCUGUCAAGUACAUGCUUACAGGAUCGGAUAUGCUGAGCCGGAGAUGCCUACGUAUGGGCAGCAGCAGCCUGCUAGCUACAAGCCACAGCAACCUCCUAGCUACAAGCCGCAGCCCCAGCAGCAGCAGCAUCCUAGCGACAAGCCGCAGCCCCAGCAGCAGCAACAUCCUAGCGACAAGCCCCAGCAGCAGCAAC